GGAUCAGUAUGUUGGUCGUGCUUCGGUACGUACUGUCAUUACUGGUUUCUCCCUUCUGAAGAACCUUGAUGUCAUUAAUUUGGUGUCUUGGGGAAUCAGGACUGUUACUUUGAAAAAAUUAGAGUGUUUAAAGCAGGCAUUUUGCUUGAAUACAUUAGCAUGGAAUAAUGAAAUAGGACAUCCGAUUCUAUUUUGUUGGUUUCUAGGAUCGACGUAAUGAUUAAUAGGGAUAGUUGGG
rnacentral:rRNA from 1 species